rnacentral:lncRNA from 1 species
AACAUGACUUAGGAGAAAAUCUAGAUGACCUUGGGUAUGGUGAUGACUUUUCAGAUAUACUGCAAAAGCAUGAUCCACGAAAGAAACAAUUGACAAGAUGGACUUCACUAAAAUUUAAAGCUUCUGCCCUGUGAAAGAUGCUGUCAAGGGAAUGAGAAGACAAGCCACAGACUGGGAGAAAAUAUUUGCAAAAGACACAACUGAUAAGAACUGUUAUCUAAGAUAUACAAAGAAUUCAAAACCAAUAAUAAAAUCAAAACCCUGAUUAAAUUUGGUUAAAAGACCUGAGCAGAGACCUUGCCAAAGAUUAUAUACAGAUGGCAAAUAAGCCUAUGAAAAGGUGCCCCACAUCAUACGCCAUCAGGGAAAUGCAAAUGGAAACAACAACGAAAUGUGUUCCCACUAACCUUCCAUUAAACCCUGGUCCUGAGAAAGACCCAAGGGGCCUCAUCCAAAGCCACAUUCCCCCCUUGGCCUAAACCCUUCCAGCCUGGAACUUCAGCCCCUAAUUCACCUGGCUACGUCCUCCUCAUUGUCCAGGUCUCAUUGUAAAGACCACUUUCUAGGGAGACCUACCCUGAGUAAUCCCCUUCCCAAUGUGCAUAUGUUAUUUUAUAUGUUCAUUAUUCUGGUAAGACAAAAUCUUUGCCUUCUAGGCAGAUUACUCAGAAAGCAAGAAAACCUCUUUAUAACCUCUUAUUAAUAAUAGACCAAUAAUCUAGGAAAAUUUUGUGAUCCUUACAGAGAGAACAUCAAAUUCUGGUUUUGUAUCAGUAUAAUAUUUGAUGCUAAAGCUCAAAAAAACUUCUUGUAAGUGAAACCUUAGGCAGCUUUGACAAUGACAAACAAAAUUCCCUCUGUGAGAAACUUCUACAACUUUCUACGUCCCUUCUGGGUUUUCCUGCGCUUUUCUUUUUCUCUUCCUGGAACAACCAGUCAUUUUACUUUAGGGUAAAAUUCUUUUCCCUUUCUUAAAUACAUCCUGAUUCAUGGCUUACAAAGUUGUUCCUUUCCGGCAUAUUUCUCCAGGCAGAGUCUCACCCACUGUUAUGGGCUGAACUGUGUUCUUCUAAAGUCCACACAUGGACGUCCUAACCCCCAGCACCUCAGAGUCUGACUGUAGCUGCAGACAGGCCUUUAAAGAGGUGAGUAAGUUAAACAAGGUCAUUGGGGGGCCCUGACCCCAUAUGACUGGUGCCCUUCUAAGAAGAGGCGAUGGGCACAGACGCACACAAAGGGAAAACCUGCUGAAGACACAGGGAGAGGACGGCCGUCUACAAGUCAAGGAGAGACGUCUCAGAAGAAACCAACCCUGCCGACUCUUCACCUUGGACUUCCAGCCUCCAGAGUUGUGAGAAAAUAAAAUUCUGUUGUUUAAGCCGCUCAGUCUCUGGUACUUUGUUAUGGUAGCCCAGCAACCAACACACUGAGAGGAAACUGAGGCAGAUGGUUGUGACUGUCUGCCAUCCACCAGGGUACUGUGGCAGACCAGCCAAGGACGACGAGGGAUGGGUGGUUUUAAGAUCAGUGUAAGUUCUCUGCUCGGAGCCCAGGCCCUUACAGACAAGCCCCUGCCAGGGGAUUUGCUAACAGGUUUCUGUUCUGGCCAGAAGGAAAACUCUGAGCUCCGCGGAUGUCUGCUGCUGGAUAAUGGAUGCUUCCCAGGCCUUCAAGAGUUUUUUAGGUAAAUGAAGAAGUCGACGUGUUCUCCAUUUCACAGUGAGGGUUGGAAGGUCGCCUGUCAGCUCCUCUGCCCCUCCUUCAGCGUGACCCUGGAGAGGACCUGCUUAGCCUUGGCCCCAAAUAUGCGCUGGAGUCCACCUUCAUUAAUUAUAGCUCAUCCUUCAUAAUUAAAGGACUACUUCGAG